rnacentral:rRNA from 1 species
GCAGCCGCCACGGUAAUACGUAGGGCGCAAGCGUUGUCCGGAAUUAUUGGGCGUAAAGAGCUCGUAGGCGGUUUGUCGCGUCUGCUGUGAAAACUCGAGGCUCAACCUCGGGCUUGCAGUGGGUACGGGCAGACUGGAGUGCGGUAGGGGAGACUGGAAUUCCUGGUGUAGCGGUGGAAUGCGCAGAUAUCAGGAGGAACACCGAUGGCGAAGGCAGGUCUCUGGGCCGCAACUGACGCUGAGGAGCGAAAGCAUGGGGAGCGAACAGGAUUAGAUACCCGUGUAGUCCCUGUCUCUUAUAC